AAGGAGUAUGUAAAGUUGCCAACGAUAGCUCCACCUUUGCCAGCUGCAACGACCGAGUGUCUUCGUACUGUGAUACUGCUACUUUCACUGAUUUGCAUACUGUGUAUAUGGUUCGACUUUGCUCUCAAGAGAGGGACUUGAACGUUAAGCGACAAAUGGGACCGGUCUUUCGUUUUCCACAGUCAAGAGAGGGUUAAGAGUUGGAGAACACUGUGGUGUCCCCUCCCUGCCCUCAGCUCAGCCUUAAUUGACGGCCCAUCGAGGAGAGGGGCACUCCCCCCGCACCUGCGCUGCCGCCGCCUCAAGGGGCAGUUCAGUAAGGGCAGCGUGCAGUCAGGAGCUACAGGGAGCGGUCCCGACAGCGACCUGGAGAGAUUUACGGGAAGACCGGGACGACUAAGACGGUUUGCCCGAAGCCUUUCUGCGCAGGUCCGGGAAGUGAUGGCUGCGAGGCCGAGACCGGGGGACUUUGUCCUUGAUGAGGCAGAGUGCGAUUCCUCCAGGUCUGAACCGUUCAGCCGUACGGGAUCGGACCCAGAGUCCAGUCCACGUCAGGAUGCAUCAUCGUCCGGUGACGAGGAAGAUUUGAAAAGCCCGGGCAAAGCUGAGAA